rnacentral:siRNA from 1 species
AUAAACUGGGAUUUAACGUCUCAA